rnacentral:pre_miRNA from 1 species
UAAAUACUCCCUCCGUCCAAAAAUACUUGUCAUCAAAAUGGAUAAAAAGAGAUGUAUCUAAAACUAAAAUACGUCUAGAUACAUUUCCUUUUAUCCAUUUUGAUGACAAGUAUUUCCGGACGGAGGGAGUAUUUA